AUUGACGCUGAACGCUGGCGGCAGGCCUAACACAUGCAAGUCGAGCGGUAACACAAGGGAGCUUGCUCCUGAGGUGACGAGCGGCGGACGGGUGAGUAAUGCCUAGGGAUCUGCCCAGUCGAGGGGGAUAACAGUUGGAAACGACUGCUAAUACCGCAUACGCCCUACGGGGGAAAGGAGGGGACCUUCGGGCCUUCCGCGAUUGGAUGAACCUAGGUGGGAUUAGCUAGUUGGUGAGGUAAUGGCUCACCAAGGCGACGAUCCCUAGCUGUUCUGAGAGGAUGAUCAGCCACACUGGGACUGAGACACGGCCCAGACUCCUACGGGAGGCAGCAGUGGGGAAUAUUGCACAAUGGGGGAAACCCUGAUGCAGCCAUGCCGCGUGUGUGAAGAAGGCCUUCGGGUUGUAAAGCACUUUCAGUAGGGAGGAAAGGUGGUGUGUUAAUAGACUAUUACUGUGACGUUACCUACAGAAGAAGGACCGGCUAACUCCGUGCCAGCAGCCGCGGUAAUACGGAGGGUCCGAGCGUUAAUCGGAAUUACUGGGCGUAAAGCGUGCGCAGGCGGUUUGUUAAGCCAGAUGUGAAAUCCCCGGGCUCAACCUGG
rnacentral:rRNA from 1 species